CGGACGAACGCUGGCGGCGUGCCUAACACAUGCAAGUCGAGCGAAUGAAGUUCCUUCGGGAACGGAUUUAGCGGCGGACGGGUGAGUAACACGUGGGCAACCUGCCUCAUAGAGGGGAAUAGCCUUCCGAAAGGGAGAUUAAUACCGCAUAAGAUUGUAGUACCGCAUGGUACAGCAAUUAAAGGAGCAAUCCGCUAUGAGAUGGGCCCGCGGUGCAUUAGCUAGUUGGUGAGGUAACGGCUCACCAAGGCGACGAUGCGUAGCCGACCUGAGAGGGUGAUCGGCCACAUUGGGACUGAGACACGGCCCAGACUCCUACGGGAGGCAGCAGUGGGGAAUAUUGCACAAUGGGGGAAACCCUGAUGCAGCAACGCCGCGUGAGUGAUGACGGCCUUCGGGUUGUAAAGCUCUGUCUUCAGGGACGAUAAUGACGGUACCUGAGGAGGAAGCCACGGCUAACUACGUG
rnacentral:rRNA from 1 species